rnacentral:rRNA from 1 species
GCAAGUCGAACGGUAACGAUGCUAGCUUGCUAGCAGGCGACGAGUGGCGGACGGGUGAGUAACGCGUGGGAAUCUACCCAGUAGUCGGGGACAACCUGGUGAAAACCAGGCUAAUACCGGAUGUGGUCUACGGACUAAAGUAGGGGAUCUUCGGACCUUACGCUACUGGAUGAGCCCGCGUUAGAUUAGCUAGUUGGUGAGGUAAAGGCUCACCAAGGCGACGAUCUAUAGCUGGUCUGAGAGGACGAUC